rnacentral:rRNA from 1 species
AAUGAACGCUGGCGGCAUGCCUAACACAUGCAAGUCGAACGAACAGACGGGGAGCUUGCGCGCUUGACGGUGGCGGGGGGCGGGAGAGUCACACGUGGAUCGCAUACCUCUAAGACUGGGAUAAUAACGGAGGACCAGAUCUACUACCGGAUCAUAUAUCGAACCGCAUGGGGCAAGGGUUAAUGACGGUUUUUGUGACAGUAAUAGCUGAUUCCGCGCCGCAUUAGCUAGUUGGUAAAGUAACGGCUUACCAAGGCGACGAUGCGGAGCCGACCUGAGAGGGUGAUCCGCCACACGGGAACUGAGAAACGGUCCAGACUCCUACGGGAGGCAGCAGUAGGGAAUCUUACGCAAUGGGCGAAAGCCUGAUCGAGCAACACCGCGUGAGUGAUGAAGGUCUUCGGAUCGUAAAGCGCUGUUGUUCGGAAAGAAGAAAAGUGGAUGUAACUGUGGAGGUAUUGACGGUACCGAAAGAAUAAGCCCCGGCUAACUACGUG